rnacentral:rRNA from 1 species
UCAUGGCUCAGGAUGAACGCUGGCGGCAUGCCUAAUACAUGCAAGUCGAACGCGUGGAGCGAUCCACGAGUGGCGCACGGGUGAGUAACGCGUGGGAACCUGCCCUGGAGUGGGGGAUAACCCGGCGAAAGCCGGGCUAAUACCGCAUACGACCUCUUGUCGCGAGAUGGGGGGUGAAAGAUUUAUCGCUCCAGGAGGGGCCCGCGUCGGAUUAGCUGGUUGGUGGGGUAACGGCCUACCAAGGCGAUGAUCCGUAGCUGGUCUGAGAGGAUGAUCAGCCACACUGGGACUGAGACACGGCCCAGACUCCUACGGGAGGCAGCAGUAGGGAAUAUUGGACAAUGGGGGCAACCCUGAUCCAGCAAUGCCGCGUGAGUGAUGAAGGCCUUCGGGUUGUAAAGCUCUUUCGGCGGGGACGAUGAUGACGGUACCCGCAGAAGAAGCCCCGGCUAACUACGUGCCAGCAGCCGCGGUAAGACGUAGGGGGCCAGCGUUGUCCGGAGUGAUUGGGCGUAAAGGGUCCGCAGGCGGUCGAGCGCGUUGGGGGUGCCAGCUGGCAGCUUCACUGCCAGAGUGCCGACAAGACGGCGCGACUUGAGCUACCCAGAGGGACACGGAACUCCGAGUGGAGUGGUGAAAUGCGUAGAGAUUCGGAAGAACACCCAAGGCGAAGGCAGUGUCCUGGGGGAGAGCUGACGCUCAGGGACGAAAGCUAGGGGAGCUAACGGGAUUAGAUACCCCGGUCGUCCUAGCCCUAAACGAUGACCACGAGGUGUAGGUGGGUUCGAGCCCGGCUGCGCCGUAGCUAACGCAGUAAGUGGUCCGCCUGGGGAGUACGGUCGCAAGAUUAAAACUCAAAGGAAUUGACGGGGACCCGCACAAGCAGCGGAGCGUGUGGUUUAAUUCGAUGCAACGCGAAGCACCUUACCAGGGCAUGACAUGGGCGUGAAGGCCCCUGCAAGGGGGAGGCCCGCACGGGCACGUCCACAGGUGCUGCAUGGCUGUCGUCAGCUCGUGUCGUGAGAUGUUGGGUUAAGUCCCGCAACGAGCGCAACCCUUAUGGUCGGUUGGAGAUAUCCGGCCAGACUGCCACGUGUAACGUGGAGGAAGGUGGGGAUGACGUCAAGUCCGCACGGCCCCGACGUCCUGGGCGACACACACGCUACAAUGGCCACGACAAAGCGUCGCGAACCGGAGACGGGGAGCCAAUCGCAGCAAACGUGGUCUCAGUUCAGAUUGGAGGCUGCAACCCGCCUCCAUGAAGGAGGAGUUGCUAGUAACCGUGGGUCAGCACACCACGGUGAAUACGUUCCCGGGUCUUGUACACACCGCCCGUCACACCACGAAAGUCGGCAGCACCUGAAGGCGCUGGGCUAACCGGAAGCGGGGGUAGGCGUCGAGGGUGAGGUUGGUGAUUGGGGUGAAGUCGUAACAAGGUAACC